GAUCCUGGCUCAGGACGAACGCUGGCGGCGUGCCUAACACAUGCAAGUCGAACGGAACUGUUUUGAAAGAUUUCUUCGGAAUGAAUUUGAUUUAGUUUAGUGGCGGACGGGUGAGUAACGCGUGAGUAACCUGCCUUCAAGAGGGGGAGUAACAUUCUGAAAAGGAAUGCUAAUACCGCAUGAUAUAUCGGAACCACAUGGUUUGUAUAUCAAAGAAUUUUAUUCGCUUGAAGAUGGACUCGCGUCCGAUUAG
rnacentral:rRNA from 1 species